AUGUGUACCUUUUACAUCUCCAUCCACAACAGCAAAAAACAUGGCUGCCUACAGCUCCUGAGUAUACAUGUUAUGGUCCAGCCAUCUGGAGAAAGACUAAACCUACUGCAAAUAUCUGAAAGAAGACAAACAAAUUUAUGGGCCAGGAUAGCAUCUAUUGAUCCUGUGAACUGUGUUGGUUCUUAUUUUCCUUCAGGCAGGAAGCUUCACUAUUUAAAAACUCAAAGCAAGUUCCAUUCCGAGAAGGAAGACCCUGAACUCACCUUCUUCAUGAAAUACACCAUAUUACACCUAUUUACAGAACAAUUCCUGUGGAAGAGUAAUUGAGGGCCAACUGAACAGCUUAUGCACAAAAAAAGAGAGAAAAGCAAAGAUACAAAGACAAAAUAACAAAGAAAACUCCUACUCCUGCUGCUGUGAACUUACAGUUGGGAGAGAUAGCACUGAGGCAUCAGAAACAAAUUCCUCUCUCCUUGCAACCAGCAUAUAAAGGAUACAGCACUAGAUUCCAUCAAGCAGUUGGGGGGGAGCUGCAUGAACACUCUUUGGGAGGGAGGGGCUAAUAUAUACAAUCUGUGCUUCCCCUCGCUGCCACUUGAAAGUUCAGUGCACAGUCCAGUCACCCUAACCAGUCUGCCACCUCAGUGAGCCCAGAACCCAUGCCCAUACCAGCCCCAGCCAUCCCACCAAUAUGGCCACAGGGUGGUGCACACUGGGACACUCCUGGUCAGCAGUCAGUACAGCUACAGCCUUCAUAUCAACAUGAUAUAGGCACAAAGCACCCUGGGACACUCCAGGCCCAUGCAACUUUGGCCUCAGAUGUCUUGCCAGGGAACUCCCAGUGCAGAACAGUCCAGAACCUCACAGCCUUGCACACACUUUAGCUUUAGCUGUCUUGCCAGCCACCUCCCGAUCUAUAUGUUGCCUACAUGAGACUCACUUCAGACCUAAAGACACAUACAGACUGAAAGUGAAGGGAUUUAAAACAUUUGCCAUGCAAAUGGAGGUGGGGAAAAAAAACUGGGAAGAACUACUUACAUCAGACAAAAAAACUUUAAAAUAGACUGUAAGAGAGACAAAGAAGGGCAUUACCUAAUGAUAAAUCAACCCAAAAGAAAAUAAAACAAUUAUAAAUAUGUACCCA
rnacentral:lncRNA from 1 species